ACCUUUUAAGAACGAGUGGCCAAGUAAUCUGGGCAUUUAACAAAACAUGGCUUCCAUUAGUGCUUCUGCUCCACCUCUUCACCUCUCUUCCCUUUCCGUGGUCACUUUCACUGCCAACCGAAGACACAUUCUCUCAGUUCUUAGCUCAGUUAGGAAUAGGAAGAGUCUAGUAGGAGUUGCCUGCUGUAGUAACGGCGGAAUUUAGAAUAUGGGCAAGUCUUGAAUUACAGGUGCAUUUGAUCCUGAUCUUCGAUCAGUGCUUGAACUCGCCACUGAGCCGGAGUUGUAUGAGCUUGAGAGAAUCCUUUUUGGUCCCAGUUACUUCAGUCCCUUGCUAAAAUCCGUAACAAAGAGGAGAGUAGACAUUGAUUAUGCUGUAAUCGAAGAAGACCUAGAAGAGCGGGAAGCUUUUAUUGCAGCUCUCGAAUCCCGGUUCUUAUUCCUUGCCGCAGAUGCCAGGUCUACAUUGAGGUGCACACCCAAGUCAGGUUGAGCUCUGAUUUGAUCUACUAUGUGAAAUUGAUUUAAGAACUUGUACCUCAAAAGUUGAACUUGAUCGAGAUAUAUUCUUCAUACUCGAAACUCACCAUUAAAAACUCAACCCAAGUUUUUGGUUGAUCUGGAAUUCAAGCUUGAACGAACUUGAGUGAGCUUCACUUUUUGCUCAAACUAGAGGUUUGUCUUUUCAUCAGGGUAAGUUGAAACAUGACAAGUAAUU